CCUAAGAGAAAUAUAGUUCAGAAACAUUUGGGGUGCACGGAUUAAUCAUCACUGAUAUAAUCUAUAGGCAGCAGCACUACUACGAAGUGUCAGUAUGCACAUAUAUUAGGUAAUAAUGUGUGUAUUAUUAUAUGGCUAUAAUCAAACAAUAAAUUCUAGGAGUCCAAUUCUCACCCACACCAAGAAUUCAAGAAUCCCAUUUCACCCUUUUUUACCAGGUUCCCUAACCUUAAUUUCCCAAGUACCCUCCUAACCAUGAUACAAAGUGCCCCCUGAACCAAUGUGAUUUCUCACACUAAGUCUUCCC